UUCUUUUCUCGUUCUCCCCUUUCUCUUCCAGAGCACGACCGGCCGACCCCCUCCCCUCUGCUCCAGAUCGGCGAGUGGCCAUGGCCGCGGCCUACCCCCGCUAAGGCAAAUCGCUGGGGAGGGCCACCACGCGUCAUGUCGUUUUCACCCACGUGAGAGGCGACCGCGGCGGGGUGCUCCGCGCUCGCGCAGAUCGCCUGAGGAAGGAGGAGACGAUGCAGCAGGGGAGUUGCAGGCGCUGCUGUGCGCCGACGGUGCUGCGACGGGGAAAGGGUACCCACGCCGGUGAUGGUGUACCUCCCUGCGCAACCGGCGAGCGGUGGAGCUGGACCCAGCUACGAUGGAGUUGCAAGCGGUUGGGGCAAAACUACAACCGGCAAGCGGGGGAGCUGGAACCGGGAAGCGGCGGGGCUGGAACCAGCAAGUGGCGGAGCUGGAACCGGCCGGGGAGGGAGUUGCAACUGGCAAGGCAAAAGUUGCAACCUGCAAAUGGCGGAGCUGGCAAUAAUGCUUUUUUUUGCUGGAAGUGUUUCUUUUUGCUGGAAGCGUCAGUCCGGAUUGCUACUGCCGAUGCAGCUCGACGUGCGACGAAGCUUCAUAUUUGUGACGGAGACGAGAGAAAAGCUACAGCUGUGAAAAAGCUUCAUCCGGCCGGAGGAAAAGCUUCAAGUGGCAUGAGGAAGAAGCUUUCACCAUAGGAAAAAAGCUUCAAUGGUGGAAAAAGCUUCAAUGGUGGAAAAAGCUUCAAUGGCUGUGGAACCGGCCUUUCUCCCUCAGUUGCAACGGGGGCUCGGCGAGCAAUAACGCUGAUUUAAUUUGCUGGAACCUAGUGUUUUUUUGUUGGAACCAAAUUUCUUCAUGAGGUGCGGCGGCGAGGCACUUCUUUAAUUUUUUGCUGCAUUUGUGUUUUUUUGCUGGAACCAUUAACUGAUUUUGCUACAAUGAGCUUUUGAUUUUGCUGGAACCGCCUGAAGCGGAACUAGGACCAGAUUUUUUAGCAAUUGAUUUUAUUGCAACAAUCCAAUCGGCGAGCCGGCCAGCGGCAGCCACAGAGCUUCAAGCGGGAGGCCAUGGGAGGACGAAGAGGAAGCCGGGUGGGAUCGUGUGGUCUGGGACGCGCGCAUCGUGCGGCUAUGGGCUGACCGGCCGAAAUUUCGGCCGGUGCGCCGGCGCCUAGCAGUCGCCUUCCUCAAAGCUCAGUUCCGGCAGAUACGUCAAGUGCAAGAGGAAUACGGUGUUUUGGCAAAAAAAAGAGAGGUAUUGUGGGCCGAGACAUUUAUGUGAUAUGUAAAACGUGGAAGAAGAUACAUGCGUGUAACACGUGAUUUGCAACCCGAACUAUUAAAAAGAAAGAAGAUACAUGACAUCAUUUCUUUUA